rnacentral:rRNA from 1 species
AUAUCAAUAAGCGGAGGAAAAGAAACUAACAAGGAUUCCCCUAGUAACUGCGAGUGAAGCGGGAAAAGCUCAAAUUUAAAACCUGCCACCAGGCCGGAUUGUAAUCUAGAGAAGCGUUUUCGGUCGUUGCCUCGGACAAGUCCCUUGGAACAGGGCGUCAUAGAGGGUGAGAAUCCCGUACUUGCCGAGCUACCAACGUCUAUGUGAUGCGCUCUCGAAGAGUCGAGUUGUUUGGGAUUGCAGCUCAAAAUGGGUGGUAAAUUCCAUCUAAAGCUAAAUAUUGGCGAGAGACCGAUAGCGCACAAGUA